GUAACGGGGUGUUAGGGCACGACACCGGAGAGGGAGCCUGAGAAACGGCUACCACAUCCAAGGAUGGCAGCAGGCGCGCAAAUUACCCAAUCCCGACACGGGGAGGUAGUGACAAAUAAAUAACAAAUACGGGGUUCUUUAGGAUCUCGUAAUUGGAAUGAGUACAAAUUUAAAUCUCUUAACGAGGAACAAUUGGAGGGCAAGUCUGGUGCCAGCAGCCGCGGUAAUUCCAGCUCCAAUAGCGUAUACUAAAGUUGUUGCAGUUAAAAAGCUCGUAGUUGAAUUUCGGGGUCAGUAGGUCGGUCGUGCCACUGGUAUGAACUGGUUUUACUGAUUCCUCCCUCUUGAAGAACUGUAAUGCCAUUAAUUUGGUGUUGCAGGGAAUCAGGACUGUUACUUUGAAAAAAUUAGAGUGUUUAAAGCAGGCUUUAGCUUGAAUACAUUAGCAUGGAAUAAUGAAAUAGGACGUUUGAUCCUAUUUUGUUGGUUUCUAGGAUUGACGUAAUGAUUAAUAGGGAUAGUUGGGGGCAUUAGUAUUCAAUUGUCAGAGGUGAAAUUCUUGGAUUUAUUGAAGACUAACUACUGCGAAAGCAUUUGCCAAGGAUGUUUUCAUUAAUCAAGAACGAAAGUUAGGGGAUCGAAGACGAUCAGAUACC
rnacentral:rRNA from 1 species